UUUUUUUGGCAAUUCUUUAUACCCCAUUUUUUUCGACCCAUAUGACAUUAUGACAUAUCAACUUUAGAAACAGGAGUGGAACUUCAAGCCCAUAACGAUUACAUGUUUCAUUACAUACAGUAAGUCAGUAAGUAAUACACAAUCUCGAAGGAGUAACGUCAACAACAACCAAAAGAAAAGAAAGGAGGAAAUAGAAAAAUUCCUUUUACUUGAUUACUUCCUGAGAAUUGCCGCCUAAACAAACUAGAAAAUUUACCAGAAAAUUAGCCGUUUUUCUCCCCAAACUUCAACUCAGACAUAAUCAGCUGCAUCUGAUCAUCACUUAGAAUUCAUCAAUGGCGGACGUUCUUCGCUUUUCUUCAAGAAGAGAUCAAUCAGCAACGUUUUUUUUACAGAUGCGCUGGAUAAAAUUAGAUUGAAUUAAGAGUUUAAUUGAUGGAUGUGAACAAAUUUGAUGAUCAACCAAAAUUGUUCAUCAGAAUUAUAGCUGAUAAAGUUGACGAAAGCAGUGUAGCUAUAUUACAUGUAUAUGAAGCAAGGUGCCAUGAACGACAAACAGAGGAAAAUAUUAUAUAAUCUUCCAGUGAUAAUAUAUGAUCUUCUACAAUAUUUAUCAGCAAUUCAACUGGGAGUACUGAAGAAUGAUCAAUCGCAGCUAACUUCAUGUUGAAUUGAUGUUAGCAAUAAGAUUGAGAUAUUAUGAACAUUGAACGACGCACAACCAGAUUAAAUAACCAACUUCUUAGGUGAUAUUUUUCCUACUUAGGGUUGGAUUUAGUCUCGUAAGUGUCCACGUUUUAUAGGUCUCUCUCUCUCCCACAUUAGUGCUAACCAAAUCCGAGAAGUUCAAGGUGUCUUAUCUAUGGCAAUAUUGUAACCUGUUAGAGUUAUCUUAGGCAUUGAGAUAUUCUAGUCUAUAUUCCUUCCUAUCUUUUAGGGAAGUUAUUUUGAUACUCCUUGAUUUCCUCCUCCUUAGAGGAUUCUAUUGUACUCCCUCCGUUUCAUAAUAUAAGACCCGCACGAUUUUCGAGGUCGAAUUUUGAUCGUUAAUUAAUAUUAUUAUAGUAUUUUCCAAGACGAAUCCAAUGGUAUAAGUUUUAUUUAUCGUAUUUGAUAGAUAUUUGUGGUCAAAGCAAAUUUUCGUAAAGCGUGAAUGCCUUAUAUUUUGAAACAAAGGGAGUAUUAUAUACUGUUAUUUUCAAUGAGAGGAGGAAAAUUAAUCUUAUGUAAGAUAAGGACUUUCAAUUUUACGUUUAUUAUUGCGUAUUAGUUAAAAAAAAUUAAAGAUCUGUCCUGUUCACCUUAUUUUUGCUUGUUUUUGAAAAAAAAAAAAAAGCUAAGAAAAGUUCAGAUUAAAUAAAAAAAAGUCAAGAAUAGUUUAUAAAAAAUAUGAAAAGUUAUGAAAAAAAAAGAAGAAAAUUUUAGAAAAAAAUAAGAAAGGUUAAGAAGAAAAGAUUAAAUACGAAAACUUUGGGGGGAAAAAAAAAGAAAAGUCUAGAAAAACUCAUCAAUAAUAAUUUUUUAAAAAAGUUAAGAAUAAAUAAGAAAAAGUUCAAACUGAUUCAGAAUAAUUAAGAAAAAAAACAUAAAGGUGAAGUGAACAAGGCCCUCAAAAUCAAAAUUGUAAGUUGAACAAAUAGAACAAUGAUCCUAUAUGUACAAGCAUGUUGAUUGUUGCGUGGUCAAAAUCACCUCGGACAAAGGCCUUGUUUGUGCAAGUUUAUAGAAAUCUUGAUAUGGACAUACGUGGUAUUCAUGAAAGGCGGUGAAUUUGAUAUGUCAUGGCAAUCCGCUUCAAAUAGGGAGGAAAUACUAAUUUGAAUGGACGUGUGAGGAGCACUUGAGAAACGAGAAAAUCUCAUAUGUGAGGUAGGAUUAGUUAGAUGUCUUAAAAUAGUGAAUUAAUACACUUACUGUCAAUUGAUUAUAGAACGGACACUUGUCAACUUCGACUCUUAAAAUUGGCCUUAAUUAUUCUCUAGACCUAAGACUCGACUCUAGACCUAAGACUAGUGAAUUGGGGUUAGUUAGAUGUCUUAAAAUAGUGAACUAAUGCUACUGCCAAUUGAUUUUAGAACGGAUACUGAUACACUUGUCAACUUCGACUUUUAAAAUUGAACGCAAUCAUUCUCUAGAUCUAAGGGACUCGACUCUAAACCUAAGACUUGAGCUUCAUUAGUAAAAACAUGCACAUGAAAGUGACCCGUAUCAGAUUUUGGCUUGAGGAUGGCUCUUCUAGGGGUACCAGUACCCUCACAUCUGAUUUGAGUGAAUUGGAUUUUCUGUUAUCUGUAUUAAUAUUUUACUUUUUUUUGUUUAGGAAACCUGUCUGCUUGGAGAUUAAUGAGUUAGUUCACUCUUUCACCAAAAAACGAAAAUAAUUGUCUACUAUGUUAUAGUAUUAUGUGCUUAGAUAUGGAGUUUCUGAGGGGUCAAAAAAUAUGGAGAUGCGGGGUAUCGAUCCCCGUACCUCUCGCAUGCUAAGCGAGCGCUCUACCAUCUGAGCUACAUCCCCUUAACAUCAUGGGAUUUCACUGUUCAUAGAUAAUUGGAGAUCUGCAAAAUGUCUAAACUUGGG